AAAAUUGAUUCUAUGCUUAAGGUUUAUUUCCGCAUUAAAUUUCUUAAGUAUUUCUUACGUCCAAUCCCAUUGUAAAGGGUUGCAUCUUAUCAGGGGUUCCUUAAUUUCUUUCCCAAUUUUCUUAUUUACGAGAACUGCGUUCAGAUUCCUGCAUCCUGAAGCUUGAGAAUGAUUUUAUUCUAUCAACAAACAUAACUACACUUCAUCUAACUAACGUUACUCUAGAGGGGAUUGGCAUUCAGUGGCUGGACAUCUUAUCUAGUUGUUAAACCAUUGAUGUUUACGGUUGAGAAUGUGUAAUCUUCCAGAUAAGUUGGAGAUCGGCAAUAACUUCCCUCGCUUGCGCUCCCUCUCAAUUGGAGGAUGUCCAAGUUUGCAAGAAUUUUGAACUUAGUGCCAAGAAUCUGAAGAAAUUAGAGAUUUAUAAUGGAAAACCUUUGAAUCUGAAGGAGGUUAAGCUGUCUAAUUUCCAAUUAGAGUGGAUACCAGUUGCUAUCUACUUGUUGCAAAGUGUUUUCAUGUUGGAUUGUAUGGUGAUUACUAAAUCUUCAAAAGCUUAAGGAAGAGUACAAUCUUAAAGAACGUAGAUUUAUUUUGAAUUCGUUGAUUGGAAAGACAUCAUCAACUAGUGCCAGAGUUACCCUUGAAUAAUCUUAUUCCUGAUAAAAUUUUGUAGAUGGAGAUGGUGACGUUCAACAUGCUGAUGGAAACGUUAGAAUGUUAGAUGCAAAGCUAUUUGAGUACUUGGAGUGCUUUGAGGAACAUUGUCAAUUUUGUUUCUUACCUAAUACAAGUACUUCGUAUGAGUUUUUAGUAGCAAAGGAUGAUCAUAUUAAUGAACAUCCUUCAUUAAUAUUGUCCCAUUGCUGUAUAUUAAGAUAUUGAAAAACUUUAUGGUAUUAAAUGUAUUGACUAGGUAUGGAACUACAGUAAAUUGUUUUUUUUUUUAAAAAAAAAAAAAAAUUUAAUUGUUGGUUUAAGUAUUGAUUAUUUCCUUUUUCCAAAAAAAAAGUAUUGAUUAUUUUUUUUGACAACGGUUUAUGGUCCGUUUGGUAUUGUUGUGGAUAUCCAUCCUAGAGUAAGUGGGACGCUGGACUUUUUCUCACUAUUUAUUUAUUAACUUUGACUAUAAUGUUUUACUAACAUAAUAAAAACAUAUUUCCUUAACCCCUAAAAAAUGAAUAAUAAGUUACUGUAGCUUAUCUACAGUGACUUUCUGCAUAUGCCCCUCGAGGUGUUGAUUCAGCCAAUUGCUGAAGUCGUCGAGGGUUCUUUGUAGGACUAUGAUGAAAGCCUAAAAGCUUGUGUAGAAGCGUCAAAGAUGUGGAUGCAGAUGCCUGCCCCAAAAAGAGGUGAAAUUGCUACAGAUUGGUGAUGCUUUGAGAGCUUAACUCCAGCAGCUCGGACGAUUGGUGUCACUUGAGAUGGGAAAAAUACUGCCCAAAGGGACAGGAGAAGUUCAGGCUUUUGAGACAGAAUGCUUCUAGGUUGUUGAUGGAAGAUAUCUACAGAAAUCCAAGUCCUCUUCAAUUUGAUGGCCCUUGUGCUGGGCUAAGGUUGUUAGCUUGUGUGUGGACGACCAGUAUUAUAUGGGCCGUAUCCAGCAUCUUCGAGAGUUUUUAGACAAGGUACUAAUUACUUUGAAAAUAGGUAGUCAUUUCAUCAAGUACAGCAGGAAGGGGAAGCCCAAGUUUUGCCCAUUCAGACUUUCGGCGGUGCCUAUUUUUCUUUAUUCCCGGGUUUUCCCUAUUUUGAUUAGUGACUCAAGUUUUCUUUUUAAUAUGUGGUUAUAAUUUCCAUUAAAUAUAUUACAUUGGCAUCUGAAUUGGUAUGCUACAAAUUAUUGACUUAGUAAGAUUUUCUAUGUACAAGAAAUGACUUUUACUCGCAAGAUGUAAUGAUUCUAAUUUGAUUAUCAUGUGGAGAAGAAAGAAAUAUGAAGUUAUUUGUAGUCUUAAGAACAA